GAUGAAGAACGUAGCGAAAUGCGAUAAGUAAUGUGAAUUGCAGAAUUCAGUGAAUCAUCUAAUCUUUGAACGCACAUUGCGCCCGCUAGUAUUCUGGCGGGCAUGCCUGUCCGAGCGUCAUUUCAACCCUCAAGCCCCCGGGCUUGGUGUUGGGGAUCGGCGAGCCUCCGCGCCCGCCGUCCCCUAAAUCUAGUGGCGGUCUCGCUGUAGCUUCCUCUGCGUAGUAGCACACCUCGCACUGGGAAACAGCGCGGCCACGCCGUUAAACCCCCAACUUCUGAACGUUUGACCUCGGAUCAGGUAGGAAUACCCGCUGAACUUAAGCAUAUCAAUAAGCGGAGGA
rnacentral:misc_RNA from 1 species